CAGAAUUUAUCUUAUUCUGAUGUAGGAUGACCAAAACAUCUGGAGAAACAAAUUGGGACCCAGAAGCCACUUGCUCCACGUCUGCAGUUACAAGGCAGAACAAAGUUGCCAGAACCAAGCUACAGAUGGGGAAACUGAGGCCUGGAGUAACCAGUUAUAUUGCUUCCAUGCUGGGAACUCUCCAAUGACAUCUCACACAAUACGGAGCCAACCUCAAGUUCCCCACCGUAGACCACAAGGCCUUGCAAGUUCUAACCUUGUCCAAUCUCCCUUACACGCCCUCAGUCCAAGUGCCUCUGUGAUGAUGGAUUGAGUCCUUCUUGGCUUCCUCCAAAGGGGCAGAACUGCUUUGGAAGUUUCCUCAUGGCAUCGGCAAUGAUCUUACUCUAUGCUGCUUAAAGAGGUUAAAUUGACUUUGCUUUCGUUACCUAAUUAAUGGUUAAGAAUAAAAUUCUGAACAUUUUCAAGGAAACUUCCAAUCCUAGAGCAGGUUUUGUUUGCCUAAGCUUUGGUGUGUUUUCCCAGCC